UACAGAGGUCUCAAGCGUUGUUCGGAUUCAUUGGGCGUAAAGGGUGCGUAGGCGGCGCGGUAAGUCGGGUGUGAAAUCUUGGAGCUUAACUCCGAAACUGCAUUCGAUACUGCCGUGCUUGAGGACUGGAGAGGAGACUGGAAUUUACGGUGUAGCGGUGAAAUGCGUAGAUAUCGUAAGGAAGACCAGUGGCGAAGGCGGGUCUCUGGACAGUUCCUGACGCUGAAGCACGAAGGCCCAGGGGGGAGCAAAACGGGG
rnacentral:rRNA from 1 species